UUUUUUUUUUUUUUCCUCUCACUCCCUUCCCCAUUUCCAUUCAACUAGCUAAUUCUUAGUUGUCCUUUAGGUCUCAGAUCAAAUCUUCCUUUAUCCCAGCUUGCACUGGAAUUACCUCUCUUAAAUUUACUUAUUAGUUUAUAUACGUAUAUAUGUAUGUGUGUAUGUGUGUGUGUGUGUAUGUAUAUGUAUACAUACUUACAUGUGCCUCACACACAUAUAUAUAUGAUGGCUGAUUCUGAACAUUAAGCUCCAUGAGGAAAGGAUCAUGUUUGUUUUACUCAGCCUCGGAUCUCCAGAGCCUAGAUGCAUGCCAGCCACAUGGUGGGAGCUUAAUUAAAUAAAUGCUGAACAGAUAAAUGAAUGAAAUAAAUGAAUACCUACACAGCAGCAGCAGGGCCAUACAAAGCCACAUGAUUAGUUGUCAGUGACCAGCGUUUCUAACGCUGCAGUGGUACGUUUCUUUACCUUUAGGCUUUGAAACUUCACACUGUAUUAAACUGGCUACUUUUAACUUCCCAAGAUAAAGGAUAGAAGAGGAAGAUCUGGAAGGACAGAACUACAGACAUUUGUCUUCUGGGAAUAAUGGUAAGCAAUAUUUUGUUCCACACUGAAAAUAAGUACUGUUUUCAAAUAUUAACAAACAAGGUAUUAUUUUAAUGUCAGGUGAGCACUUUUUGUGGCUGUAUGGGACAGAUUCAAUAAUUCAGUUAUUUAGACCAUGCAGCCAUGGACAGUCAUUUCCAUUGGCACUUUACUAGAAUGUGGACUUAUGGUGGUCUUUGGGGAAGGAGUGUAAUAAGAUUCUAAACCCCUACCCAUCCCUGUGCACACCACUUACCAUCUUCCCAUCAGCAAAUAAUAUAGUCAGAGACCACAGAUCAAAUGGUUCCAAGAGCAAUAUAAAAACUCUUGUAUCAUGUCUGUAUAUUCUUAGAUAAGAGUGGGGGGGGGUGUUCAUUUCCAUAUUUGUGACCAACAGAAAGCAGAAGUUUAGUGAGUCUGGUAAGGACAUUCUCAGGAGUCAUAGGGAAGCUGCCUCACUUUGGUUGGUCCACAUGGCAUCGUGGCACAUGAUGUGAGCACUGCUGACCUGUAACAGACCUGUAACAUGCUGGGAGACAUAAAUAAGUCAGCCAGACCCCUCCCCCUUGGGCACAGUAGGCCUCUGAUUGCCAUAGCAGGAGAAGGUUCCAGAACACCUCCAUUCCAGUGUCCUCAAUCACUCUCUCUUGGCCUUUUGCAAAUCACAUAGCAUUUCUGCCUGAUAUGCUUUGGUUCGUACAAUACCACAAAUGAAAAUACCAUAUUUUCAGAGUGUUGCAUAAGAUGCCAUUUCAUUGUUAUUUUCAUGACUGCUCUCCAGCUUGAGCUCCUUACAUAAUGGUGCACCUGGCCAAUUUCUAGUAGGGAGAGCAGUGCCUCUAUCUUUUUUUUUAACUUGCUUUUGUAACAGGGAAUGACCCGUGCCCGGAUGAUCCACUUGUAACACCUACAUUUUCAGGAAACAGUGAGGAUAUGAGAGGAUAAAAAGAUGCAGGACAACAUGGGGGUUAAAUGUCUGAUCCUGCAGAGACUACAGCUAGUCUAUGAAAUGUCCUGUGUUUAGACCCAAUUAGACACAUCACUUAGAUGGGAACAAGGAAGAGAGAACAGAAGUGGAGAGCAGCCUUUGAUUCAGCAGCACUUACUCAGGAUGUGCCACUCCACUGUGUGGAUGACAAGGACACUGCUUUAGGCAUCUCUGAGCUGGUUCUAACGGGCAAGAAAUGCCCAAUUGUCAUCAGCAUGAUGGUUGACAAAGAUUGCAACCAGCCAGCCACAAACAAAAAAUAAAUGGCCUGUCAGGAAAAUCACAACUUCCUGGGAGUUCCUGUCAUGGCUCAUAAUGCAGAGUCCUAAUGUGUAAAGCAGAGUCUGGGGAGAAAGCACCACCAACCACUAGUCUAAAUCCUGCCCCCCACAUAAAUAUAUACAUGAAAAGAAGCUAUGUAAAUGGGAAAAAAAUUAAACCAAAACAAAGAACUCAUGCCAGAUAUAAGGUGGUAGCAUGGCUACAGCCUUCUGGAAUAUGGAAUUUAGGUCUUCUCUAGAAAUGCUGUUCCCUUACUGGUUGGAAGCAUCUACCAAGAGCCUGGAUGUCAGCUGCUCACACCUGGAUGGGAACAUUUGGGGUAGAUGUUGAACCGUCUGUUGGCAGACAUCUCUGUCAUCGGCUG
rnacentral:lncRNA from 1 species